UACGUAGGGGGCAAGCGUUGUCCGGAAUCAUUGGGCGUAAAGAGCGCGUAGGCGGUCCGGUAAGUCCGCUCUGAAAGUCCGGGGCUCAACCCCGGGAGGCGGGCGGAUACUGCCGGGCUAGAGUCCGGAAGAGGCGAGUGGAAUUCCUGGUGUAGCGGUGAAAUGCGCAGAUAUCAGGAGGAACACCAAUGGCGAAGGCAGCUCGCUGGGACGGUACUGACGCUGAUGCGCGAAAGCGUGGGUAGCAAACGGG
rnacentral:rRNA from 1 species